rnacentral:sRNA from 1 species
GGGGCCGUCCCGGAACGGCUGCGGCCGGGCACCCCGGGAGUUAAUCCGAAAGCGCCGCAAGCCCCGCGGGCCGGCCGCACCGCACGUGUCACCGAGAAGCUGAUGUAGAGAGAGACAGAGAAAGAGACAGAAAGCAAGAGACCAGAGUCCCGGGAAAGUCCUGCCGCGCCUCGGGACAAUUAUAAAAAUGUGGCCCCCUGGGUCAGCCUCCCAGCCACCGCCCUCACCUGCCGCGGCCACAGGUCUGCAUCCAGCGGCUCGCCCAGUGUCCCUGCAGUGCCGGCUCAGCAUGUGUCCAGCGCGCAGCCUCCUCCUUGUGGCUACCCUGGUCCUCCUGGACCACCUCAGUUUGGCCAGAAACCUCCCUGUGGCCACCCCAGGCCCAGGAAUGUUCCCGUGCCUUCACCACUCCCAAAACCUGCUGAGGGCCGUCAGCAACAUGCUCCAGAAGGCCAGACAAACUCUAGAAUUCUACCCUUGCACUUCUGAAGAGAUUGAUCAUGAAGAUAUCACAAAAGAUCAAACCAGCACAGUGGAGGCCUGUUUACCAUUGGAAUUAACCAAGAAUGAGAGUUGCCUAAAUUCCAGAGAGACCUCUUUCAUAACUGUAAGUCAAAAAAUGAAAAGCUUCAGCCUGUAUGAUGAAUUCAUAUCACUGAUGUCUGAUUAUUUUUUCUUCUAGAAUGGGAGUUGCCUGGCCUCCAGAAAGACCUCUUUUAUGAUGGCCCUGUGCCUUAGUAGUAUUUAUGAAGACUUGAAGAUGUACCAGGUGGAGUUCAAGACCAUGAAUGCAAAGCUUCUGAUGGAUCCUAAGAGGCAGAUCUUUCUAGAUCAAAACAUGCUGGCAGUUAUUGAUGAGCUGAUGCAGGCCCUGAAUUUCAACAGUGAGACUGUGCCACAAAAAUCCUCCCUUGAAGAACCGGAUUUUUAUAAAACUAAAAUCAAGCUCUGCAUACUUCUUCAUGCUUUCAGAAUUCGGGCAGUGACUAUUGAUAGAGUGAUGAACUAUCUGAAUGCUUCCUAAAAAGCGAGGUCCCUCCAAACCAUUGUCAUUUUUAUAAAACUUUGAAAUGAGGAAACUUUGAUAGGAUGUGGAUUAAGAACUAGGGAGGGGGAAAGAGGGAUGGGACUAUUAC